rnacentral:rRNA from 1 species
ACCCAAGUUGCUUGGAAUACCUUGUCAUAGAGGGUGACAACCCCGUCUGGCUAACCGUUCUCCAUGUAUUGCCUUAUCAAAGAGUCGAGUUGUUUGGGAAUGCAGCUCAAAGUGGGUGGUAAACUCCAUCUAAAGCUAAAUACUGGUGAGAGACCGAUAGCGAACAAGUACUGUGAAGGAAAGGUGAAAAGAACUUUGAAAAGAGAGUGAAAUAGUAUGUGAAAUUGUUGAUAGGGAAGGAAAUGAGUGGAGAGUGGCCGAGGUUUCAGCCGCCCCUCGUGGGCGGUGUACUGCCGACGCCGAGUCAUCGAUA